UACGGAGGGUGCAAGCGUUAUCCGGAUUCACUGGGUUUAAAGGGUGCGUAGGCGGAUUAGUAAGUCCGUGGUGAAAUCUCUGAGCUUAACUCGGAAACUGCCAUGGAUACUAUUAGUCUUGAAUAUUGUGGAGGUUAGCGGAAUAUGUCACGUAGCGGUGAAAUGCAUAGAUAUGACAUAGAACACUAAUUGCGAAGGCAGCUGGCUACACAAAUAUUGACGCUGAUGCACGAAAGCGUGGGGAUCAAACAGG
rnacentral:rRNA from 1 species